rnacentral:rRNA from 1 species
UACGGAGGAUCCGAGCGUUAUCCGGAUUUAUUGGGUUUAAAGGGUGCGCAGGCGGGAGAUUAAGUCGGCGGUUAAAUUUUGCAGCUCAACUGUAAAAGUGCCUUCGAAACUGGUUUCCUUGAGUGUAGAUGAAGUAGGCGGAAUUUGUGGUGUAGCGGUGAAAUGCAUAGAUAUCACGAGGAACUCCGAUUGCGCAGGCAGCUUACUAAACUACUACUGACGCUCAGGCACGAAGGCGUGGGGAUCAAACAGGAUUAGAUACCCCGGUAGUCCCUGA